CUUGGAUGGCAGUCAUUCACUAAGACAAAAAAAAAAGUAAUAAACAUAAAUGAGAUAAGUAGAUCUGGAGAAUAAACUAAUUUGAUUUUGGACACAUUAAGUUUAAAAGAAAAAAAGAGAAAGAACUGGCAAGAAAAAAGAAAGAAAGAAAAAAAAAAUCUUGUGGGAGUCCUUAAUCUUUAUUCUGGCAACAGUUUUUAACCGGACAGCUGGAGCUGGGUGCUUGACUCUUCUGCCUUGCGAAUGUCCUGUCCACCCUGCCCAAGCCCUGGGAAGGCAGAACCGGCCUCUGCCGAGCUUGGCCUUCAGACACCUCCUCCGAGGCACGGCGUUCACUGUGAGCUUGUGGACAGUUCUUGUGAGCUCGAGCUAUAAGGAAGCUCCUUAAAUGACGUGUACCUGUCUUUGCAGACAACCUUCUUAGACAUCUAUUACUUACGGCACCUGCUUCCCUUGUCGGCUCACUACACUUGCGGGGAAGCCAGCCUCACAGAUGGCAAUGGAAGGAGGAAAAUUUGAAAUGAAAGAAUGAUGAGCUCAUGUCUAUAAUCCCGGCACUUUAGGAGGCCGAGGCGGGUGGAUCACCUGAGGUCAGGAGCUCGAUACCAGCCUGGCCAAUAUGGCGAAACCCUGUCUCUACUAAAAAUACAAAAAUCAGUCGGGCAUGGUGGCAGGCACGACCUACUCAGGAGGCUGAGACAGGAGAAUCACUUGAACCUGGGAGGCGGAGGUUGCAGUAAUCAGAGAUCUCACCACUGCACUCCAGCCUGGGCGACAGACAGGGAGAGACUCCAUUUAAAAAAAAA
rnacentral:lncRNA from 10 species